rnacentral:rRNA from 1 species
CCUACGGGAGGCAGCAGUGAGGAAUAUUGGUCAAUGGGCGCGCGCCUGAACCAGCCAAGUAGCGUGAAGGAUGACUGCCCUAUGGGUUGUAAACUUCUUUUAUAUGGGAAUAAAACAGGGUAUGCAUACCCUCUUGUAUGUACCAUAUGAAUAAGGAUCGGCUAACUCCGUGCCAGCAGCCGCGGUAAUACGGAGGAUCCGAGCGUUAUCCGGAUUUAUUGGGUUUAACGGGAGCGUAGGUGGAUUGUUAAGUCAGUUGUGAAAGUUUGCGGCUCAACCGUAAAAUUGCAGUUGAAACUGGCAGUCUUGAGUACAGUAGAGGUGGGCGGAAUUCGUGGUGUAGCGGUGAAAUGCUUAGAUAUCACGAAGAACUCCGAUUGCGAAGGCAGCUCACUGGACUGCAACUGACACUGAUGCUCGAAAGUGUGGGUAUCAAACAGGAUUAGAUACCCGGGUAGUC